UUCAGUAUGAAAGAGAGACUUUAACAAAACUCAUCUUUUUUCCAAGGAAAUGCAAUGUGGCAAGUGAAGCUUCUCAGUCUUUACCACGUACAUAUUCCCCCUCUAUAAAGACCUUCUCCACUCACCUUAGCUGGCAUCACAAGCCAAGCUUUAGGAGAUUCUUUUUGUAGUCCAAGAAGAGAGCAACCAGGCAAGAGGGAAAGAAAUGUUUCAGAACAUUGUUACUGCUAUCGCAUCAUGCUGUACUGGGGACAGUAAGAUGAAGAUCAAAGGCACUGUUGUGUUGAUGAAGAAGAAUGUCUUAGAAUUCAAUGACUUUCAUGCUUCGGUUCUUGAUCGUGGCCAUGAUCUGUUGUUAGGCCAAGGAGUCUCUCUGCAAGUCAUUAGCGCUGCUAAAAGUGACCCGCCAGGUUGUUAUGCUAUUCAAUACUCUAACACCCCCUCUCAAACUGUGGGGAAGAAGACAGACACACAGUUUGUCUCUUAGAAAGCAAUACCGAUUUGCAGUAUGACUUUUUGUAAAGACAUCGGCAAUUUGGUCUUAUGUUGAGGAUUUGAAGCUAAUGCAAUAUAUAGCACUUACAUUGUCACACCAUAAGCUUGGGGCAGUAGACAACGCGAUAUGUAAUUCUUGAAGAAGCAUGCGAAGCUAGUACAGUUCAGCAGUUGUAUAAGUCAUGCUUCUAUAUUCAGCCUUUAUGCUAGAUCGAGAGACAACACUCUGCUUUUUGCUGCACCAAGAUAUAAGAUUAUUGCCAAUAAACACACCAUAACCAGUGGUGCUCCGCCUAUUAUCAGGAUUGCCUGCCCAAUCAGAGUCACAGUAGGCAUGCAUUAUGAUUGUCCUUGGAGUGUAAAGAAGACCAAACUCGAUAGUACCUUUUAGAUAGCGUAAGACACGCUUGACAGCUAUCCAAUGCAGUUCACGCGGAAAGUGCAUAAACUGGCAUAAUUGGUUUACUGAGUAGGAAAUAUCUGGUCUUGUGAUUGUGCAGUAUUGAAGAGCCCCUACAACUCGUCGAUAUUCAGUUGGAUUUUCUAAUAGUUCACCAGCAGUAGAUGAGAGUUUGGAGCCAGAGGAUGAUGGACAACGGAGAGGCCUUGCACUAAGCAUGUAGGUACAGUUAAGCAAAUCAGUGAUAUACUUAGUCUGUCGUAGAUGUAAACCAGUUUGGUUCCUAAGUACUUCAACACCAAGAAAGUAGCUCAAUUCACCCAAGUCUUUAAUUGGAAACACAUUCUGUAGUUGAUCAAUAAAAUAAUGAACUGAUUAACGUUGGAUCCUA